AUCUAUGGCCAUGUCACCCUCAACGUGCCAGAUCUUUUCAGAUCUCGGAAGCAAAGCAGGGUUGGGCCUGGUUAGUACUUGGAUGGGAGACCACCUAGGAAUACCAAGUGCUGUAGACG
rnacentral:rRNA from 1 species